AAGCAUAUCAAUAAGCGGAGGAAAAGAAACCAACAGGGAUUGCCCUAGUAACGGCGAGUGAAGCGGCAACAGCUCAAAUUUGAAAUCUGGCUUCGGCCCGAGUUGUAAUUUGUAGAGGAAACUUUUGGUGAGGCACCUUCUGAGUCCCUUGGAACAGGGCGCCAUAGAGGGUGAGAGCCCCGUAUAGUCGGAUGCCGAUCCAAUGUAAAGUUCCUUCGACGAGUCGAGUAGUUUGGGAAUGCUGCUCAAAAUGGGAGGUAAAUUUCUUCUAAAGCUAAAUAUAGGCCAGAGACCGAUAGCGCACAAGUAGAGUGAUCGAAAGAUGAAAAGCACUUUGAAAAGAGGGUUAAAUAGCACGUGAAAUUGUUGAAAGGGAAGCGUUUGUGACCAGACUUGCGCCGUUCCGAUCAUCCGGUGUUCUCACCGGUGCACUCGGGGCGGCUCAGGCCAGCAUCGGUUUUGGUGGGGGGAUAAAGGUCCAGGGAACGUAGCUCCUCCGGGAGUGUUAUAGCCCUGGGCGUAAUGCCCUCGCUGGGACCGAGGUUCGCGCAUCUGCAAGGAUGC
rnacentral:rRNA from 1 species